UACGUAGGGUGCGGGCGUUGUCCGGAAUUAUUGGGCGUAAAGAGCUUGUAGGCGGUCUGUCGCGUCUGCCGUGAAAUUUCGGGGCUCAACCCCGAACUUGCGGUGGGUACGGGCAGACUAGAGUGUGGUAGGGGAGACUGGAAUUCCUGGUGUAGCGGUGAAAUGCGCAGAUAUCAGGAGGAACACCGAUGGCGAAGGCAGGUCUCUGGGCCACUACUGACGCUGAGAAGCGAAAGCAUGGGGAGCGAGCAGG
rnacentral:rRNA from 1 species